AUCUUGCGCGGUUUCCAACGACGAAUCCAGUUUGCUCUUUCUUUUUUUCGUUUUUUUGUGCUACGGGUUUGCUGUCGUUUUGGAUUUUACAUGUUUGUAUUUGGUGUUGUUUUGUUUAUGGAGAUCGAAAAUAGAGUUGUUAUUGUUGAGGAUGCAUGAUGGUGUUAUUCAUGUAGAUGGUAAUGAUGGCUGUGGAAGAAUAAGGAAAAUGGUAUAUAGAAAUUGAAUAGAAAAUAAUGAGGUAUGACUGUAAACUGGUGAUUAUCAUGUUACUGUAUUCAUGGAGGAUCUUGGUAUUGGACUUUGUGAAUUUAUUGUAGGUGUGAGUGAUUCUAAGUUGGUGAAUUUGUGUAUGAAAGUGUGUAUGAAUAUGUUAGUGUGAAAAUUGGUCUUGUGAUUUUACGUGUGAGAGUGAGAUCAUUUGUGUGUAAGAACGGAUUGUUGGUAAGGGUUAGUUGAUCUCCUUAGUAAAAAUAGAGGGGGCUAUUU
rnacentral:lncRNA from 1 species